UCUUCGUACCAUAUUACUUUUAGCGCAUUUACUCCCUGUGUCAAAUUUAUUGAGGAAGGGAAAAGGAAAAAAGAAGGGUGUAACUUCAAAGAAAAGUUCUAAUAAAGAAAAUAUGAGGAAAGAGGAUUACGACGAUGUAUAUUCUACUACAUUUCCUAAUUCUUCUUUAAUACAAAUUUGGCCCGAAGGAUGUAGCAUGGAGAACAAAAUAAAGGAAAUGAAAAAGGAGGCACAAGGUCCAAUUUAACCUUACAUUAUAUUAAUCAAAGGAAAAAGUUUAACUUAUUUUGUUCAGACUGAUAAUGUUACAUUGACUCCAAGUAUCAAUUCGCCAAUCUUAGCAUUUGAUUUAUUAUUCAAGGUACAUUAUGUUUUAAAUGUUACUUAUCCUACAACACUACUAAACUUUUUCAGUUUCUUAGAACAUUAUUGUAUUAAAUGUUCAUCUGAAAAAGCACAUGCUUUUGUAUCUUCUAUUCAUAUUAAUAUUUGUAAUACCACACCAAUAUCAAAUGUGAUAGAUAACACAUCAGAUACAUAA